CACACAUCUGAUCUCGGAGUCGCGGUCAAACACGCUGGAGCGUGUAACAAUCAGGUCAGACUACCGCUGCUGGAUAAAACAUAGUAUUAUGAUUGCAGGGCGAUGGUCAAAAGGAAAUUGUCAAUGAUGCGCUCCACAUCAAAGAGUGUGCGUUUCAACAGUUGGGAGAAGGAGUCGCGGGACAAACUUCUUCAAGAGUCUGUUUUCACUGGUGUCCGUAGCUCAAGUAGGAGAGACGAAUCUGUCAGGCAAAAGAGAGCUGAUCACCAAAAAUACUCUGCAGGGCGAUCAGCCCCAAGCACGUCUCAGCCUAGUUCUGAGUAACUCGGAUCCCACCAGUAGCAGUCUCUGGAAGUAGAGAAGAGAGAUGUCCACUACUCCUCCACAACUACGAGGCAUGUCUGCAGGUGGAAGCCAUACCAGUCAACUGCAUUCACCAGUCAUUACUGUAGAGGAAAGUGAUGGAGUAAAUAUUGAACAAACAUGAUUCUCACCAUCAUCAUCUGUGAGCGUUGUCCAACCACUAAUAAAAAAAUUUGUGGCUUAACUCGAACUGUAA